GGAGAGGCUGUGUGGAAGUUGACCAAGAUCGUGGAGGAUCUUAUCAAUCAAAAGCAGACCAGUAUUUAAUGAUCUGCUCAUUGUGCCAUACAGAAAGUAAGCACAAAAGGAAUUAAGCGGCGGGGAAGUCCGAAAUGUGAGCUGAACUUGUGAAUUCCGCAUGAGGUCCUCAGCAUUAUCUCUCAUUGAUUUGCCCUCCACAGAGCUUUCACUGUCCAGAUC
rnacentral:lncRNA from 1 species